rnacentral:misc_RNA from 1 species
GAUGAAGAACGCAGCGAAAUGCGAUAGGUAAUGUGAAUUGCAGAAUUCAGUGAAUCAUCGAAUCUUUGAACGCACAUUGCGCCCCUUGGUAUCCCGAGGGGCAUGCCUGUUCGAGCGUCAUUUCACCACUCAAGCCUGGCUUGGUGUUGGGCGACGUCCCCUUUGGGGACGCGCCUCGAAACGCUCGGCGGCGUGGCACCGGCUUUAAGCGUAGCAGAAUCUUUCGCUUUGGAAGUCGGGGCCCCGUCUGCCGGAAGACCUACUCGCAAGGUUGACCUCGGAUCAGGCAGGGAUACCCGCUGAACUUAAGCAUAUCAAUAAGCGGAGGA